rnacentral:rRNA from 1 species
CCCUUAGAUGUCCGGGGCCGCACGCGAGCUACACUGAAGGAAUCAGCGUGGCUUUCUCCCUGACCCGAAAGGGUUGGGAAACCCGUUGAAUCUCCUUCGUGAUAGGGAUUGGGGCUUGAAAUUGUUCCCCAUGAACGAGGAAUUCCCAGUAAGCGCGAGUCAUAAGCUCGCGUUGAUUACGUCCCUGCCCUUUGUACACACCGCCCGUCGCUACUACCGAUUGAACGGUUUAGUGAGGGCCUCGGAUUGGUCUCGGCCCGCUCUUUACCGGGCGGCGCCGUUGGUCGAGAAGACGCUCGAACUUGAUCGUUUAGAGGAAGUAAAAGUCGUAACA